rnacentral:lncRNA from 1 species
UCGUGUAUAUGUUACAUUCGAAGGAAGAAAAUCAUGACUAAAAUUAACAAAUUUUUUUAUACUAUGAUCAUAUUUCUUUUUCCAUUUCAUGUUGUGUUCGAAUCUAUUCGUAAGUCUUUUAUUAAUGUUUUAAAAAAGAAAUUUUUUAUCUUUUAUUUUAAAAAAUCCUUAUUCACGAUCGUUCAUUUUCCUUUUAUUAACAUUCUUUUUUUCCUUAUUUUACAAUACAGCGUUCCAACUCUGUAAAGUUGACGUGAAUUGUCCAUGGCAAAAAUGUUCUCCUAGUAAUGUUCCUGUGUGUAUUUUUGGAUUAUGCUACUGCGUUAAUAGUUAAGUUCUCAAUCAUAAGCUUUUUAUUACAUUAGAAGUGUGUUAAUUAUUCUAUUCAAGUGUUAUCACCCAUGUCAUUGGUUAAUGAUUAUAUAGAGGUUA